rnacentral:lncRNA from 1 species
CAUCCUCCUCCAUCUUCCCAGGAUUAUCAUCACCCACCACCUUCCCAAGAAUACCAUCCUCCUCCACCUUCCCAAGAUUACCAUCCUCCGCCACCUUCCCAGGAUUAUCCUCCUCCACCUUCCCAGGAUUACCAUCCUCCUCCACCUUCUCAAGAUUAUCAACCCCCUCCACCUUCCCAAGAUUACCAUCAGCCUCCACCUGCAAGAUCAGACAGUUCUUAUUCCGAGCCCUACAACCACCAACAAUACUCACCAGAUCAGUCACAGAAUUUAGGUCCCAAUUACCCUUCUCACGAAACUCCCCCUCCUUACU